rnacentral:lncRNA from 1 species
AUUUGGUGUGAAAACCCUAGGUCUUCUUACUAGAGUUUCGAGAAGAGAGAAAAGAGAGUUGAGGUAUCACCUCCACUUUUCUUCUACCACAUUCUCCUCCUAAUGAUCCUUCUUCAACUUCUGGAAGUAUUCGAGAGUUUUGAAGGAAGGAACCAGAUCAGCCUUCAAUAUGGACUUCACGCAAGCUAGUACUCCCAGAGAGGCCGAUCAGAUCGGAGCUUUGAGUAGACUAUCUGUA